AUGGGCACGCCGACGACGACUCUAGCGGCCCUGGCGGCGCUGCUGCUGUGCCUGUGCGUCUCCAUGUCCUCCGCCGCUGAGUACAAGGUGGGCGGGCUGGACGCGUGGGGGGUGCCGCCGUCCACCAAGCCGGACGUGUACGUGCGUUGGGCCAAGUCCGUCCCCGUCAAGCUCGGCGACGCCCUCUUCUUCCUCUACCCGCCCAGCCAGGACAGCGCCGUCCAGGUCACCGCCAAGGCCUUCGCCGCCUGCGACGUCUCCGACCCGCUGCUCAAGCUGGACGACGGCAACUCCGUCUUCAACCUCACCAAGCCCGGCCGGGCCUACUUCACCAGCGCCGCCCCGGGCCGCUGCCGCAAGGGCCAGAAGCUGUCGGUGGACGUGCCUGGAGCCGAUGGGAAGCUGCUCAAGCCGUCCGCGGACGACGAGGCCGCGCUCAAGGCGCUCUCUGCGCUGCCGCCUGCCGCUGCCCCGUCCGAGGCGCUCCCCUCGCUCUCACCCGACGACGCCGACGACGACUCCGCUGCCUCCAUGGUCCUGCACCGGGCCGCCGGAUCCGUAGGUCUCGCUCUGUCUCUCACCCUCCUGUGGCUGUGA
rnacentral:rRNA from 1 species